rnacentral:rRNA from 1 species
UUAGAACAGAUUACUUCGGUUUGAAGUUCUUUAUGACUGAGUGGCGGACGGGUGAGUAACGCGUGGGUAACCUGCCUUGUACAGGGGGAUAGCAGCUGGAAACGGCUGGUAAUACCGCAUAAGCGCACAAUGUUGCAUGACAUGGUGUGAAAAACUCCGGUGGUAUAAGAUGGACCCGCGUCUGAUUAGCUAGUUGGUGAGAUAACAGCCCACCAAGGCGACGAUCAGUAGCCGACCUGAGAGGGUGACCGGCCACAUUGGGACUGAGACACGGCCCAGACUCCUACGGGAGGCAGCAGUGGGGAAUAUUGCACAAUGGAGGAAACUCUGAUGCAGCGACGCCGCGUGAGUGAAGAAGUAAUUCGUUAUGUAAAGCUCUAUCAGCAGGGAAGAUAGUGACGGUACCUGACUAAGAAGCUCCGGCUAAAUACGUGCCAGCAGCCGCGGUAAUACGUAUGGAGCAAGCGUUAUCCGGAUUUACUGGGUGUAAAGGGAGUGUAGGUGGCCAUGCAAGUCAGAAGUGAAAAUCCGGGGCUCAACCCCGGAACUGCUUUUGAAACUGUAAGGCUGGAGUGCAGGAGGGGUGAGUGGAAUUCCUAGUGUAGCGGUGAAAUGCGUAGAUAUUAGGAGGAACACCAGUGGCGAAGGCGGCUCACUGGACUGUAACUGACACUGAGGCUCGAAAGCGUGNGGAGCAAACAGGAUUAGAUACCCUGGUAGU